UGAAUAUUUUAUUCUGUAACAUUACAUUUCAAAUUUAAAAACAGAUAUAUCUACAAAAAAUAGAAUGUACAGUGAAAUAACUAAUUAAGAUAUCACAAAGAAAAACUAAACACUAUUAUCUAAGAUUCCAAGUAUAAAAAGUAUUAUUGCAAGAAAAUAAUGAAACUAAAGCACCAUUAAGUUAAUAUUGUGUGAGUUCCAGUUCUCGAAAAUAGGUUUUAGUACAUAACAUACGAGGAUAAUUCCUAAAAAAAUGUUCCCUAUGCCGCUAAGAACGAGUGCGACGUACAGGGAGAAAUCUGGCAACACUGCCUUACACAUAAACUCUCCCGCUCUCUUAUCCAACUACUUUAAUCUCGCUGUAUUGCUCAGUGUCGGUCUAGCGGCCUUCGAAGAUGGAUGUCGCAGUCACUGUUAUCGCCAAUGUGAAAUUAAUGCCGUGAUACGAAACUUGUCGAUGCAUAUUCGCAAGGAAGAACUGGUGGACAUCAAAAACCACAAUGCUUAACAAAUUAGAAGCAUUUGACUUGAUUGCUAUCGACGGAUCAUAAAAAUAUCGUGGGUUUCGCACACUUCCGAUGAAGAUGUCUUAAAAUGAAUUGAGAACGUCUUCUCAUAAACAUCAAAAAGAGAAGAAAAACAGAACUUGGGCCAUAUAAUUAGAGUACCUAAAUACAUCUACUUCGCCUUCUUAUAUUACAAGGAAAAGUGGAGGGAAAGAGAUGGAUUGGUUAAAAGGAACAUUCGUGGCUGCGUAAUGUUAGACAAUGCUGUGGUUCCACAUUAGAAUAAUUAUUUCGUGCAGUAGCUGAUAUAGAAAGGUUUCAGGAAAUUGUAAACAUGACAUCGACCAACGUCUGAAUACAAAGACGACACCUAAAGAAGAAGAAGGUUAAACUGAAUGGUUGUAAACAUAUAUUUUGAGUGAUAGUGAUGAUAAACAUACUGUUGAUGGUUAAAAAUGCUAGAAAUUUAUUCUUUACAAAACUGUAAAGUCACAAUAAAUUAAACUGAUGUUUUUCUUAAGUGAUGCCAUAAAUGUAGUAUUAAAAAAAGUUAGUAACACAACAAACAUGAGAUAAAACCAUAAAAUUUGAGCUAGUGAAGAAAGAAAUCGAAUUUGUUGUAUUAUUUUUCCAAAAAGUGAUGUUAACUCUUUGUUUCAGUCUUUUGAGUUAUUAAUUUCACUUUUUAUAUAUAUAGUUGGUAGAUACUACACUUGUAAUACAAAUUGCCCUUCAAACAGAUUUAAAUGCUCUGUGUAAAUGGAUAGAAAUUAAAUAGCCUGCUUCUAAAUGUAAAAAAGUGCCUUUUUAUGGACACGACUAAAGAUCUGACUAUUUUGAUUGAUGAUGUUUUUUUUUCACAGUAUAUUUCUUCAAGUUUAGUAAAUUAAGUUUAAUUUGAUUGAUUGUUGCUAAUCUGCAACACUAACCAAAAACAUUGUUUCCAGUUUCCUAAUUUUUUUAAGUACUUCCCGACAAAACCAAUAAUUUCUAGAACAUGAACCCACACAACAAAUAAAUUUUUGAAAACCCCUCAUAAUUUCUAUUAUCUAAUUUUUUUAUAUAUUUAAUUAUUUCAAAUUCUACCGUUUAAUGGUACACAAUAGCAAAAUAUAUAUAUUUUUUAUUAAUCACUGAUAAUGAUAGUAGUCUUUUACCUGUAUAUUUUAAUCGAUUCAUAAAGAUACAACAAAAACCACUAAAACUAAAAAACAAAAAAUAAGGUACUGAGAUUAAGACAGUCCACCUACAUUUAGACUCAUUUUUAAAUUAAAUGAGCUCCAGAAAAUUUAUAUAUUUAUGCUUUACGUUCGGUUUUUAUUAGUUAUUAGCUUCUUUGAUACUAAAGUUACUCACUGUUAAUGCUUUUACGAGACAUAUCAAUAAGUUGACUGACAUUUGACAUAUGUCAAGUGUCAGUUGUGCUGAGUUGCGCAAAAUGAUGUAUUUUCGCAUCAAUUCACCGGCUUGCUAAACAAUUGGAAUGCCGGUAUUCCUUCAUGAGUAUAUGCUAUGGGUUAAUUAUCGCAAAGUAUUAGUAUCUGCUCUUCAAACUGAUUUGCGGGUGCCACUGUUUCAUUGUAACGAUUUAAUUUUUAAUAUUCCGAUGAAACUUGGUCGGAUAACAAAAAGAGAAUCCGAGAAAUGAUGGGAGUUACACAUACAAUAAUUGAGGACAUCAAAACAAAACAACUAAUAUGGUACGACCAUGUACAGAGAAUGCCAGAUGACAGGAUCCGUAAGCAGAUUUUGGCAUGGACACCACGGGGGAGGAGAAAAAGAGGAAGGCCGAGAAGAAGCUGGAGGGAGGAAAUUGAAAAAGAACUAGAGGAUAGAGAAAUCCUUCCAGGUCUAUGGUUAAACAGAGAAACAUGACGGUUAGGAGUCGGAAGGCGUCGGAGAACAGUGUAAACUUAUAGUACUAGUAGUGAAACUUGGUAAAACGAAGAAGACACGUGUCCGAAAGUAUGGGUGAAAAGCUGAAUAUUAAAAGUGCAAACCAUACGUCUUAAAGAAAUCAAAAACAGUACGAUUCUUCUUCAAAGUCAUAAAAUGAAGUUUUAGAUAAAUAUGACAGCCGAAUGCAAAUAAAAUAUCUACAUAGUACAUGUAACAGUUAUUUAAGAAAGUCCCAUUUGUGGCAAUUGAAGUUUGAAGUAUUGCUAAAACGAAAUCUGUCGCAAAGCAUCUUAUGUAGAAGGACAUUUUUGAAGUCUCUUUUUAGAAGGUGCUUCUUGUGGUGUCAUAUCCACUUUAGGUGUAGGGCGCUCCUGAAAAGCUAUUACACAUCCUAUACCCUUUCAAGUAUAGUGAUUCGUGAAUUUCACAAUAAGAUUAACAGUGCAAAUGUAAUACUUUUAAUAUCAAAUAAUUCAAUAAAAACCGAUUUCUAAAAUUAGCACUAAAAGCAUCGUUAUAUAGUAUGAAAUAUUAAAGCAGGUAUUUAAAGAUAGCGCAAUCAACAAAUCUGAUGAAAAUUUUGUUGAAUGUACCAACUUUUCAAUGCUUUAUAAGAAAAGGUAAAGAAGAAAAAGAGACAGACUCACAAUUAGUUCUAUUAUAACCUGGACUGGUUUCGCGCCAUACAAUAUCAGCUAAUCUCCAGGUCUUCGAUAAAAGAUUACUUAGCCACUAAAAAAAGUGAGAGAAGAAAUUCUAUAGUUGUUAUAAGUUGUUUAGUGUAACGAAAGAAAUUAUUAAGAUUUUUUAUUCGUUGGAAAGAAUAAUAAAUAAGAAAAAAAGAGGACGAUUUGCAAUUAAAAAAAUUAUAAAAACGAAAGAAGGAAAAGAUCGAAAUGUUUUGUGUGAAUCUAUUUGAAAAGUGCAUAUUUUUACACAUAUAUGUAAAACUGGUAUUUUUAAGAAGAAAAUUUGUUAAGGGAACAGUGAAAUGAAAUCAAGUUUGUAAUACCGUACAUACUUUGCAGUUAUAUGGUUUGGUUUUGAUGAAAGUAUAAGAGAUUAACGUUGAUUUUAAAAAUACACUCAUAUUAUUUAAAAUUUGGCUCAUUAUAAGCUUAGUAUUAUCACAGUUUAUACUUAAGAACCUAUAACAACGGAAGCAUAUCUUGUUUCUGUUUUAUUGGUUAAAUAACCUUUUAUCGGGGCCAUGAAGAUGGGCUUACAUUUUUGAGCCCCAAACCAGUCAUGCAGAAUAUAAUAAAACCAAGUCUUGUUCUUCUUCUUUUUUACCUUUUGAAAAUGGGUUCACAUUUGCAAACAAUUUAUCAUUUGCUUUAUAAGAAAUAUCUAACUACAGCUUGCUAAGUCGUGUUCUCCAUAGUAGUAAAGGUCGCAAUAUAGGUGGGAUCUUUGAAUAAGAGAGAAAAUAGAUUAAAUAUUUUUAGAAUAUCGAAGUUGGUGAUUAUUUGCAACAUACAGCAUCCACCAUUUUAUUUAUUAUUCAGACAUGUACAGUGAAAAUUGUAAAACUAUAACGUUAAAUACAUAUUAGUUUUAAAAUCAUCGAAUACAAUGUAACAUAAAAGUUUAACCUGAAAGUUUAAGACAUUGUUUAAAAAAGGACCGGUAUAAAGUAUAUGAAAACACAUAUUUCGUACAAAAGUCAGCUGUGGAACUAAUCUUCAGUACGCGUUCGCGUGGUAAGAUCAAUAUGAUAUAGCUCCAGAAAAGAAGGUGGCUAAGUUUGAAUUUUUUUAACCAAACAGAAACUGUCAAAAGAAUUUUGUCCAAAAACUGAUAUUACUUCGCCUUAUGUUACCUGUCACCAUUUGACUGGUCUCUUGGACUUCACAUUUCAUGGUUGAUAAAUUAUCUUUGAUUUUUAGGUAUAAACAACUUUCAUUUUAAACGCCACUGAUACUGCUAUCAGCUAGCAGCAGCAAAUCUUUGAAUAUGGAUAGCAUUUUAAAUAUUCUAUACAAAACUGAGAUUAUUGUGGUUUUCAAGAAGGCUGCACAAAGUGAUGUGAGAUUAGAUCAAAAACAGAUUUAGCAGGUUGAAAAUUUCAAGUAUUUGGGCUCGGUUGUACUACAGAGUAAUGAAUGCGAAUAUAGUUUGCUACGCAUUAAAAAAAGGCAUUUAUUUAGGUAUACGUGCUUGGGCUACUAUACGGCUCAGAAAAUAUACUAUAAUACUUUAAGUGGCAGAGACAAAAUUAAACAAACGUGUGAAAUGCGGUACUUAAGAGAGAUUUUUGGGGGUGGCGAUAAGCGAUAGAUUGAGAAACGAUUUUAUACGGGAACAAUGUAAUGUAUUGGUCUCAGACAAAGUUGAACAAAGUGUGAUGGUACAGGACAACCCUCACGGAAUUUUCCUAAUUUAUUUGUUAUAAAAAUAAGGUCAUAAUAUUAUAAUUGCGAUUUGUAUAAUUUAUUACGAUAGUAGCAAAUUUCGAAGUAUUGAACUCAUUUGAAAGACUGUAAAGAAAGCAUACGUCAUUCUUAAUAUACGUAUAGUACCUCACCAUAUAUGGUCAUACAUAUUGGCACUGUUUUUAACUAUAACAGAUAUAAAUAGGAAGGUCGAGUACUUGAGACAUCGUUAUUGUCGUUGCGCUCUCUAGCGCGUAGUCAGGGGAUAUAGUUACCGAGAAAUGGGUUAUCCCCGACCUAUCUCAAGGUCAACGUAAUGUAAUUGUACAUUUAAUUAUAUAAGAAUAAAGUUUCUGUAAAAAGUUUAAAUUUGUUUGUUCGGGGUAGUGUCUUCGUCUAACAACCCCAAACUUCACAAAAGAUAACUUGUGUGGUUCGAUCAUAUGGUCCGUAUGGAUGAUAAUAGAACAGUGAAGCGAGUGUAGCAAGCAGUAGAAGACAAAAAACGAAGAAGAAGCAGAUCAGCAAGGACGUGGAAUAGCGAGAUUGGCAAGGCGCGAGACAGGCGGAAUCGAUGGUCAAGAACCGCGGCAUAUGGAGAGGCUUCUACUCCAUAACAUCGAAUGCCUUACACCGUUAAAGUAGGUAAAUAAGGCUUAAGGAUGAUAUUUUUUAAAAACUCGCGCAUAAGCCAUAUCUUUUCUGUGAAAAUAAUGCCUACAAAACAAUCGUGACAAAGCGCUUAUAGUUCCACUUCUGUAUUUCAUCAGUUCACAGUACAACAUUUAGUUUUCCGAUAUAUCGUAGAUGAAUCUUUGGUAAUAUUUGAAUUUUCAGUUCAAUUUUUCUUAUAGUUGCAAACUAUAGAACGUAUAGUCUUUUAGAAAGAGUUUUUAUAUUUUUAUAAUGGUUUUAAAACCUUAAGAAUAGUACUGUACAAUAAAGUAGCCCAGACCGCUUUUCACUGGUGUUAACAACAAAAUUAAGUAAAAAAGUUACAGUCUGGAUGUUUCAUUCCAAUCUCAAUACUGACAGUUUUACUUAUUAAAAAUUUAUAGUGCAAUUGAACACUAAACAGAGUACAUUAAUAUGUGCGAUAUUACAACAUAAACCCUAGAUAGUUUGUCUAUUCACUUCUUAAUGUCCAAACCGAGUAUACUCUAUGGUUUCUUCAUAAAGUCCAUGGUCCUUUACCCGUGCGUCAUUAAUACCUAGCGAGAUAAAACACAUACCUUUUAUCUACCAUCAUUGUCUUCGACGCAUGAAACUAAAGACAAACCAGUGUACAGGAUUUAUA
rnacentral:lncRNA from 1 species